rnacentral:rRNA from 1 species
UACGUAGGGUGCGAGCGUUAAUCGGAAUUACUGGGCGUAAAGCGUGCGCAGGCGGUUCGCUGUGUCCGAUGUGAAAGCCCCGGGCUCAACCUGGGAAUGGCAUGGGAAACUGGCGGGCUGGAGUGUGGCAGAGGGGGUGGAAUCCGCGUGUAGCAGUGAAAUGCGUAGAGAUGCGGAGGAACACCGAUGGCGAAGGCAGCCCCCUGGGCCAACACUGACGCUCAGGCACGAAAGCGUGGGGAGCGAACAG